rnacentral:rRNA from 1 species
GAAAUCCCGUCGGAAUCUGGGAGGACCAUCUCCCAACCCUAAAUACUCCCUAGUGACCGAUAGUGAACCAGUACCGUGAGGGAAAGGUGAAAAGCACCCCGGGAGGGGAGUGAAAUAGAACCUGAAACCGUGUGCCUACAACAAGUUCGAGCCCGUUAAUGGGUGAGAGCGUGCCUUUUGUAGAAUGAACCGGCGAGUUACGAUAUGAUGCGAGGUUAAGUUGAAGAGACGGAGCCGCAGGGAAACCGAGUCUGAAUAGGGCGUUUUAGUAUCAUGUCGUAGACCCGAAACCAUGUGACCUACCCAUGAGCAGGUUGAAGGUGCGGUAAGACGCACUGGAGGACCGAACCAGGGCACGUUGAAAAGUGCUUGGAUGACUUGUGGGUAGCGGAGAAAUUCCAAACGAACUUGGAGAUAGCUGGUUCUCUCCGAAAUAGCUUUAGGGCUAGCGUCGACAUAAAGAUUCUUGGAGGUAGAGCACUGUUUGGGUGAGGGGUCCAUCCCGGAUUACCAAUCUCAGAUAAACUCCGAAUGCCAAAGAAUUAUGGUCGGCAGUCAGACUGCGAGUGCUAAGAUCCGUAGUCGAAAGGGAAACAGCCCAGACCACCAGCUAAGGUCCCAAAAUAAUUGUUAAGUGGAAAAGGAUGUGGGGUUGCACAGACAACUAGGAUGUUAGCUUAGAAGCAGCUAUUCAUUCAAAGAGUGCGUAAUAGCUCACUAGUCGAGUGACCCUGCGCCGAAAAUGUACCGGGGCUAAAACAAUUUACCGAAGCUGUGGAUACCUUUAUAGGUAUGGUAGGAGAGCGUUCUAUGUGUGGAGAAGGUGUACCGUGAGGAGCGCUGGAACGCAUAGAAGUGAGAAUGCCGGUAUGAGUAGCGAAAGACAGGUGAGAAUCCUGUCCACCGUAAGACUAAGGUUUCCAGGGGAAGGCUCGUCCGCCCUGGGUUAGUCGGGACCUAAGGAGAGACCGAAAGGUGUAUCCGAUGGACAACAGGUUGAUAUUCCUGUACUAGAGUAUGUAGUGAUGGAGGGACGCAGUAGGCUAACUAAAGCAGACGAAUGGAAGUGUCUGUCUAAGCAGUGAGGUGUGAAUUGAGUCAAAUGCUUAAUUCUAUAACAUUGAGCUGUGAUGGGGAGCGAAGUUUAGUAGCGAAGUUAGUGACGUCACACUGCCAAGAAAAGCUUCUAGCGUUAAACAUACUCUACCCGUACCGCAAACCGACACAGGUAGUCGAGGCGAGUAGCCUCAGGUGAGCGAGAGAACUCUCGUUAAGGAACUCGGCAAAAUGACCCCGUAACUUCGGGAGAAGGGGUGCUGACUUUAAGUCAGCCGCAGUGAAUAGGCCCAAGCAACUGUUUAUCAAAAACACAGCUCUCUGCUAAAUCGUAAGAUGAUGUAUAGGGGGUGACGCCUGCCCGGUGCUGGAAGGUUAAGAGGAGUGCUUAGGAGUAAUCCGAAGGUAUGAAUUGAAGCCCCAGUAAACGGCGGCCGUAACUAUAACGGUCCUAAGGUAGCGAAAUUCCUUGUCGGGU